rnacentral:rRNA from 1 species
UACGAAGGGGGGCUAGCGUUGCUCGGAAUCACUGGGCGUAAAGCGCACGUAGGCGGCUUUUUAAGUCAGGGGUGAAAUCCUGGAGCUCAACUCCAGAACUGCCUUUGAUACUGGCGACCUUGAGUCCGGGAGAGGUGAGUGGAACUGCGAGUGUAGAGGUGAAAUUCGUAGAUAUUCGCAAGAACACCAGUGGCGAAGGCGGCUCACUGGCCCGAUACUGACGCUGAGGCACGAAAGCGUGGGGAGCAAACAGG